GGUACCACGGUAUAUGUUUGUUGGUUUGUUGUGAUACCUUGAAAAUGAAAAUGUUUCUCAGAAACUCAACUAUCACGCAAUGUAAAUUCAAGGAUUUUUACUUCUCACAAAAAUCAAGAAUGCUGCUAUUUUCGAUAUAUUGGAUUUUCUCGAUUUUUGAGCAUUCAAAUCAUUAAAACAUACUAAAGUUAACUAAAACCAGAAAAAAAUAAAGCCAAAUAUUCAAGCAUUACGAAACAUAUAACACAACAGCCUGAAGAAAGAACGACUACAAUCCCAACAACAACAUACGUGAUAACACUAACUGUCUCAACUUUGCUUCGAAUCUGAUUCCCAGUUAUUUGGUGUGUUCGUUCUUCAUUUCCAGUUAUUUUCUCAAACCUAGAUUCAUAAUUUGGUUUGUUUUCUAUAGUUUUUCUCUUCUCGAUUAAUACAUCAACAGUGUUGAAUCGAGAGAACAUAUUGAUGUUGGUUUUGAGAAACAUCUUUGGUUCAUUAUGUUUCAAAAUAAACAUAUCAGAGAUGAUAGCAGUAUGUAGGACCAUAAUUGCAAUAAGUAAAAACAGAUGAUAUGGACAAAUGAUCAUUUUGUGUAAAAUUCAAUGCGAAUCAAUACGCCAACACUUAAACACGUAGGUAUGAGAAAGAAAACUGCAAGGCCAAAACAGACUUCUUGAUUAAAAUGUAGAGUUCCUUUGCACAAAUUUCUUCGUUUAAUCCAAACAGAUCAAGAAACUAUCAUUGAGUAUGUACUAUACACCAAAAGGUUCAAAUAUUCAUUGUACUUUACACCAAAGGGUUGAGUGUUCACUGUACUAUACACUAAAGGUUUAAAUGUUCACUGUACUAUACACCAAAGGUUUAAAUGUUCAUUGUACUAUACACCAAAGGUUCAAAUGUUCAUUGUACUAUAUACACCAAAGGUUUAAAUGUUCAUUGUACUAUACACCAAAGGUUUAAAUGUUCAUUGUACUAUAUACACCAAAGGUUUAAAUGUUCAUUGUACUAUACACCAAAAGGUUUAAAUGUUCAUUGUACUAUAUACACCAAAGGUUUAAAUGUUCAUUGUACUAUACACCAAAAGGUUUAAAUGUUCAUUGUACUAUACACCAAAAGGUUCAAAUAUUCAUUGUACUAUACACCAAAGGUUUAAAUGUUCAUUGUACUAUAUACACCAAAGGUUUAAAUGUUCAUUGUACUAUACACCAAAAGGUUUAAAUGUUCAUUGUACUAUAUACACCAAAGGUUUAAAUGUUCAUUGUACUAUACACCAAAA